CCCUUAGAUGUUCUGGGCCGCACGCGCACUACACUGACGAAGUCAGCGAGCAUCUCCUACGCCGAAAGGUGCGGGGAAUCUUGUGAAACUUUGUCGUGCUGGGGAUUGAUUUUUGAAAUUCUUGAUCAUCAACGAGGAAUUCCUAGUAAGCGCAAGUCAGCAGCUUGCGUUGAUUACGUCCCUGCCCUUUGUACACACCGCCCGUCGCUACUACCGAUUGAAUGGUUUAGUGAGAUUUUUGGACUGGAACUCUCUUGUUCAGCAAUGAACGAGAGGGACUCUGGGAAGCUAUUCUAACUGUAUCAUUUAGAGGAAGUAAAAGUCGUAACA
rnacentral:rRNA from 1 species